rnacentral:hammerhead_ribozyme from 1 species
AUCCAGCUGAGGAGUCUCAAGUAGAACGAAACGCACGUCAAACUGGAU